AUUGAACGCUGGCGGCAUGCUUUACACAUGCAAGUCGAACGGUAACAGGCCGCAAGGUGCUGACGAGUGGCGAACGGGUGAGUAAUGCAUCGGAACGUGCCCAGUCGUGGGGGAUAACGCAGCGAAAGCUGUGCUAAUACCGCAUACGAUCUAUGGAUGAAAGCGGGGGACCGUAAGGCCUCGCGCGAUUGGAGCGGCCGAUGUCAGAUUAGGUAGUUGGGGGGGUAAAGGCGCACCAAGCCAACGAUCUGUAGCUGGUCUGAGGGGACGACCAGCCACACUGUGACUGAGACAGGGCCCAGACUCCUACUGGAGGCAGCAGUGGGGAAUUUUGGACAAUGGGCUCAAGCCUGAUCCAGCAAUGCCGCGUGCAGGAAGAAGGCCUUCGGGUUGUAAACUGCUUUUGUACGGAACGAAACGGUCUGGGUUAAUACCCUGGGCUAAUGCCGGUACCGUAAGAAUAAGCACCGGCUAACUACGUGCCAGCCGCCGCGGUAAUAC
rnacentral:rRNA from 1 species